UCCUCUGUAGUUCAGUCGGUAGAACGGCGGACUGUUAAUCCGUAUGUCACUGGUUCGAGUCCAGUCAGAAA
rnacentral:tRNA from 1 species